rnacentral:lncRNA from 1 species
AGCCGGCCAGGGAGGCUCGGCCAUUUGGUAGUGGUGCCGGAGACGGACCCCUUUAGAUUUCGGGGCGGCUGAGGAGCGCGGCGGCUGCUCUGUGGCUGAGUGAGGGGGGUGGGCGGAAUGGCGGGGGAAGGGAAGGUGACUGUGCCUCGAGGGCCGAGCCGCCCGGCCUUGCCAGCCAGCCGCCGCCUCAGCGUUCGGCCGGGGGCGGGGCCGCAGGUGCGUUCUGCGAGGGGGAGGGGCGCGGCCGGAGGGGUCGGGUCGGGGUCCCCGCCCGGCCGAGGGCUUCGCGGGGCGGCGCGACGGGGUUGCGGAAGGAGGCGGGCGGCUUGAGGUCCGGGGACCGCGGGCUGCCCAGCGGGAGGGCAGAUGAAAGGCCUGGAAGGAGGAGAGGGGUCAGGGUGCAAUGCCGGGAGGGGCUCGUCGGGUCCCGGGUCCGGCGGCUCGCGCUGGGGAGCGUGGCUGCCCCCGUCACCCCCACCGCGGCUGCCCAGCAGCCCGCGCGCCCCUUCCCCUCCGGCCUCGUCCCUGUCAGGCCGCCACCAUCGCCACCCUCGUAUACAUAAGUCAGUAAAAGCAAGAUGCUUCCACUUUUGGAUGACUUACCGCGCGGUCGCGACCCUUCCCACGAAGAGGCUUUUCACUUUGCUGUCAUAUUAGGUCAGCUUGGAAGAAGUGAUCACCAAGAGACACCCAAGAUCUUGUUUAGGCAAUAAAUGAAUGAAGACCAUGGAUUAAGAACCGUUGCUAGAUAUGUAGAAUAUUAAAAGGUGGAAAAGGAAGGUGCUCAUAACUCCUGGUUUUCUGGACCAAACAUAAUUUCUGGGCUUUAUAGACCUAGUGAAAGAGAACGGCGCACGGUUUAUUCUAAUCGUCCACCUGAGUCAUUCGGUUCGGUUUGGGUUGCCAAGGAGGCUCUAACUGGAGCCCUUUCUCCUGGUUUUUCGGCGUGGUUGCCUUGGGUAUUUUUGAAUCACAUUAAGUUUUAAGAGACCUUAAAGCCCCGAUGCCCACUGGGUUACCGACUUACGGCACUAAGUUGGCUGCCUGUGGCUGUUAAUAAACCACGGGGAUUGUUGUCAACGAGGACAGAUACAUCCUUACCUUUCCACACGACUGUAUUUUAGUGUUUGUUUCUACAUGUCUGCACUCUUCCCCACACGCCUCAAGGUAGUUUUUCUGGAUACAUAUGUUUAUUUUUCAGGAACAGGAGUUCAAAGGAGAGAUAAGCCAGUAUGUAUGUUGCAAAGUUAAAAUACUGUUGCAUAAUAGCAAUCCAGUUUCAUUCUUAGACAUACGAAGUUGAGGAGGAAAUAAAAAGUGACAAUGUAAAUAAAACACAUACAGAAUGCUUACACUGGGGAAGAAGCUGUAGUAACUUUAAUAUUGCAACCUGAUGGAUUGCAAGUGUAAAGCCCUGCAACUAAGGAUUUUACUCAGUAAAUUCUUUCAGAUAAAAUGAUAAAUGGAAUUUGAAGUCUGAUGUUUACUCUGAUUAGGUGGGAAAUGCACCAUAAAAGUUAGAAGUCAUUGUUUUAUUUUAUCUGGGUAUAAAUAGUAUAAUUUAUUUAACUUGUUGACUUGCCUGUCAUCCUCAGAUUUUGUUAAUCUUAUUGAAGCCUAUUUGUAUAGUUGGAAUUUAUUCUAAGUUUUAUUGGCUUCUUUGUAAUACAUGAGGAACCCCAAAUUUCCUAUUUAUGCCAUUGAGACAGUUGUUAUUUCUGGAUAUGGUGUUUAGGAUUGUAUUCAAACAGAACUCUUAUCAAAACAGGUCAAUAUGGUGUGUAUGAUCUGUGUAACAUAGGAGUCCUGAAGUUUGUGUUCUCUUUGAUGGUAAAUGUUCAUUUUCAAUUUAAAAGUUUAACCACAGUUAAGACCACGCUGCUAGCAAUGCAAUAUGAGACAGUGUCUUUCCAGAGGAGUAAUCCCUUAAAAACCAACCAAUCAAAUGCAGAGAUAUGCCCCAUCCAGCUUUGCUAAAUAGAAGCAAAUAGCUCACUUUAUUGUACAAAGACUCAAGAGGAAGACUUAGAAGCCCACCCCCUCCCCCAUUAAAGAGAAAGUACAGAAACAAAUUAGAAUCGAAAAAAUCAUGGCCUGAUUACUAAAUCAAAACGUUAAAUGUGACAGUUGUUUUUAGAAGCAUCUUACAUUUAUACAUUUUGAUGACUUUUGUAUUAAUGUUAGAAAAUUGAAAGAAGGCUUCACUGGAUGUCAGUCGUUACAGAAAUUGAAAUAUCCAAAAGUAUAUGUAUAACCAAUUGAGUAAUUUCCGCUUUCCUUACACACUUGAAAUAAAUUUUCUUUUGCUUUUACAAAUAGAUCUAUAUGUAAGAAAAUUUUCAUAUGAUUUUGCUUUUUUAUUAUUAAAAAAGGAAUAUAGUAAAGCCAAAGCUGAGCUGUAUUUGCCCCACACAACAUGACCAAAUAUAAAAAAAACCACUGCUCUUACAAAUAUCUUAUUUUACAAAGUUGUUUUUUAAAUUACAUUUUAUUGUAUAUUAUAAUAGUAAAUAAGUGUUCUAAGUGGCACUGCAUUUCAGAAAAUAUAGAAAGAAAUCCCAUAUCAAGGAAUCUUGGCUGAAUUUUGAAACGGAGUUGGGAACAGGUAAGAGUUCCUAUCUACUGAGUAAUUCUACAACAGGAAUUGUGUUUGAAAGAUGUAGAGUCUCUAACCUCUGAAACUAGGUUUGAGUCACACUGAGAAGAAUAAAUGAGAUACAAUUCAAAGUUUAACCCCCUAGAGAGAUAGAUGGCCCAGGAAGGAAAGAUCUUCCCGCCUUCCAGAAUAUCCUCCAUCAAGAACCAUUCCAAAUAAAUGAGCAGCCUAUUUUGUUCUCAAAGACAUGAACAAUGAGUGUCCUUAGGCUCUUUUGAAAUGUGUAGGAGAGUACUGUUUUACAAAUAACCAUAUCGUUACUAUUGCCAUUUUAUUAGGUUGGUGCAAAAGUAAUUACCAUUUUUUUUAAAAAAGGCAAAACCACAAUUACUUUUGCACCAAUAGCACAUUUGCCCUUGUUUGGUCUCUAAAGAUGGAGACCCUUUGGUUAGCAUCCUUUUUAUGAGUCAAGCUAAUAUACCCACAGCUCAACUUUUUGUUCUUGAGCUUGAAUCACAUCACUGGCAAUCGGCCGUAGUACUCUCUUACCUACAUCAUGGUUCUGCUGCUUGGACCCCAAAGACAAUGACAUGGAAAAACUCCAGCUUAAUUAUGUUCUUUUUUGUUUGUAUAUGUAAAUAGUUUUUAGGAAUGUAGAUUAUUAUUUUGAAAUCUGUGGUAACAAAUGUGAAAACCACUACAUUUUAUUUAUUUUCAUUGAAUAGCAAAUAAUGUUGAAGCCUGGGAUCUAAAAAGUUAAAUAUUAUUUUAUUUUGCUUAAUAAAGUAUUGGAUAAUUUAGAAAAAGAAUUUUUUUUUAAUGAUUGGAUAGUUACCUUAUUAAUGGAUUGGUCAGGGAGAAAAAGCCCUGUUGGAUGAAAACUGUCAUAUAUGUGACUUUUAAAGUGAAAUUAAUAAGCCAGGCAUGGUGAUGUUCCCCUGUAGGCCCAGCUACUUGGGAGGCUGAAGUGAAAGGAUCACUUGAGCCCAAGAGUUCAAGAACAGCUCGGACAACAUAGCAAGACCUGUUUCUCUAAAAACAAAAAACAGUAAAAAUCUUAAAAACCGCUUAAAGAUGGUUGGUUUCUUUUAAAAAGGAAAAAAAGGCUCAGGUGCAGUGGCUCACGCCUGUAAUCCCAACACUUUGGGAAGCUGCAGGCAGAUAGCUUGAGCUCAGGAGUUCGAGACCAGCCUGGGCAACAUGGUGAAACCCCAUCUUUACCAAAAAUGAAAAAAAAAAAAAAAAAUUAGCCUGGCAUGGUGGCGUGCACCUGUGGUCCCAGCUACAAUAGAGGCUGAGGUGGGAGGAUCCCUUGAGCCCGGGAGGUGGAGAUUGCAGUGAGUAGAGAUCACGCCUCGGCACUCCAGCCUGGGCAACAUAGCCAGAUACUGUCUCAUUAAAAAAAAAAAAAAAAAGGCCGGGCGCGGUGGCUCAUGCCUGUAAUCCCAGCACUUUGGGAGGCCGAGGUGGGCGGAUCACGUGGUCAGGAGAUGGAGACCAUCCUGGCUAACACGGUGAAACCCCGUCUCUAUUAAAAAUACAAAAAAUUAGCCGGGUGAGGUGGCGCACGCCUGUAGUCCCAGCUACUCGGGAGGCUGAGGCAGGAGAAUGGCGUGAACCCGGAAGGCGGAGCUUGCAGUGAGCAGAGAUCACUCCAUUGCACUCCAGCCUGGGCGACAGAACGAGACUCCGUCUCAAAAAAAAAAAAAAAAAAAAGCCAGGUAUGGUGGCUCACGCCUGUAAUCCCAGCACUUUGGGAGGCCAAGGCGGGUGGAUCACCUGAAGUCAGGAGUUCGAGACCAGCCUGGCCAACAUGGUGAAAUGCCAUCUCUACUAAAAAUACAAAAAAAAAAAAAAAAAAAAAAAGCCGGGCUUCGUGGCACGUGCCUAUAAUCCCAGCUACUCGGGAGGCAGAGGCGGGAGACUUACUUGAACCCGGGAGGCAGAGGUUGCCAUGUGCCAAAAUCGCACCAUUGCACUCCAGCCUGGGCAACAAGAGUGAAACUCCAUCUCAAAAAAAAAAAAAAAAAAAUCACUUGCACACUUGUUUGGAAGUCUCUAGAAAUUUUGUGAAUCGGUUUCUUAAAUAUAUUUAUUAAAGACAGUUUUGAAGUAGCAAUGAGGGAAGUUUGUUUACCAUUCAUCAGGAAGAAAACCAGAGCUGUAAGCUCUUACUUUUAGUAUUAAAAUAUGGCUGUGAAGGAAAAAAAUAAAUGCCUUAAAGACAAAUAAUGGAAUGAGGAGCUAUAGAACAAAGUGACAUAAGGCAAUUUUGGUUGAAAAAUAGAAAUGCAAUUAAUUUAGAUUCCACUAAUUUGUUUUAAUCCAUCUAGAGUUGAGGUUUACCUCUAUGAAGAAAAGAAUACUAAAAUCUAUUAAGAUAUGAGGUAGAGAUCAGACUUUUUAAGAACUUUUAAUGUUUUUACCAUUUGCAAAUGGCAUUUAUAACUUUCGUAUACAUAGUAAAAUUAUGUAUACAAUAAUUAAAUCCUCUUAGAUUCUCUGCUUUGUAAUGGCAAUUAUUAUUUGUACCUCUAAGUAAUGAUCUAUUUGUAAAAAAUUUUCUACAGCGCCUCUUGAAUUAGAGAUCAAUUUAAUGCAUUCUGAGAAAUUAGUAAAUUUUUAACGUAUUUCUAGUUGAAAUAUUGGGUUCUUUCAGGCAAGUAUAUGUAUACCCUAAACUUUCUUUGGAAGUUCUGGAUCCUAGCAACUAUAAUAUAAAAACUUUGAAUUCAUUUGUACAUGACGAAAUGAGAUAGCCACGAUAGGUGUUAGAGGACUUUUACCCAGUGGAGGAACAUGUUUUACUCUGCUGCAUUGGUCUUUUUUUUUUUUUUUUCCUUUCUUUUUGAGACAGGGUCUCACUGCCACCCAGGCUGGAGUGCAGUGAUGCGAUCAUGGCUCACUGCAGCCUUGACCUCUUGGGCUCAAGCAGUCCUCCUGCCUCAGCCUCCCAAGUAACUGGGGCCACAGGCAUGCACCACCACACCUGGCUAAUUUUUAAAUUUUUAUAGAGAUGAGGUCUCACCAUGUUGGCCAGGCUAGUCUCAAGCUCCUGGGCUCAAGCGAUCCUCCUGCCUGGGCCUUCCAAAGUGCUGGGAUUACAGAUAUGAGCCGUGGUGCCCAGCCUUGCAUUGGUCUUAUAACUCAAUAAUGUACGUGAAAUUAUUGUAUAUGCCUUCUUGUAUAUGAGAAUUACCACUUCUACAUAUAUAUUGGAGGGCAAGUCAAGUAAGUGUGACAAACAUUUUUCACUAGGCUAGGCCAACUCAUGUCUGUGUUCAUGUUGAGAAGUAAUUCUAUAGAUAAGGCAGAAGAGCAGACAAACUCAGGAUACAAGUGUGCAAAGAUGUAUAACAGACAUGUUGAUCAUUGUAUCAUAGCAUUUUUAUAAUAGCGAAAGAAAGAAAAGAAAGGGGAAGAGGGAAAAUGAAAAAGAAAAAAACAGAAAAGAUUCAUAUGCCCAGGAAAAAAGUCUGGGAGAGUAUGUACCAAAAAAUGUUUAAAAACUUUGAUUACAAUGGUUUUGCAUGGGUGAUGAUGUCAUAGUGGUUUUUGAUUUUGAGGUCUUUUAUUUGUCUAUAUUUAAAAAGUUUUCCAUUGAUAAUUUUUGCAAUGAAACAGGUAUUUUAAUGGAAAUUAUAGGUGUAGAUGAUAUGUGGAAUGUUUAUGCUAGUCAGAAUUUUUGGUGAAGAUAACAGAAAUUUACCUUGACCAACACAAGAAAAAGGCAAUUUUUAUAAGUCUGUCACAGAACCAAAGAACAAGGUCCAGGAAAGAAGAAGCCAGGGAAGCUGGCAAUUUGGAGCACAGCCAAGAUGGUCCCUGCCCUAGGUAAAGUCUUCAGAGGACCUCACACCUCAGAAGUCAUCUCUGCUAUGGGCUGUGAAUCCCACCAUACCUACAAUGAUCUCAGCAUCCUGCCUUUUUGUGUCACUCCCUCGAGGUUCAAAGCCCUUGGCAAGAACAUUUGCAGAUGCCCCAGCUGUCAGAGAGAAAAGAUUAUCUUCCUCCUUUAGCUUCCACAGUGGGAUGUGUGACCCUGCCUCCUGCCUAUUUUAGGACUCUGCCUAAACUAAGUGUUCUGGUGCUAGGUGACCAAAACCAAAAAUCCACGAACAUGUUCUAACAAAAUAAUGCUGUGAAGGUUUCCUGAUGAUCCAUGUUACUCCCAUAGUAUCUCCCCUCUUCCUCCCUACUACUUACCAGCAAGAGACCGUACCACCUAUUUAGGAUCAAUGUAAAGCAGAGCUAAUAUCUGAAAUCCCAGUUUCUUUUCAAAUGCUUCCCUUUCCAAAUUUGAAGCCAGAAGAAACAAUGUAUCACUGCUGAUGUCAAUAAGACUUCCUUGGCUGGGCACCGUGGCUCACACCUGUAAUCCCAGCACUUUUUGAGACCGAGGUGGGCAGAUCAGUUGAGGUCAGGAGUUCAAGACCAGCCUGGCCAACAUGGUGAAACCCCAACUCUACUAAAAAUACAAAAGUUAGCUCAGUGUGGGGGCACACGCCUGUAAUCCCAUCUACUUGGGAGGCUGAGGCAGGAGGAUCGCUUGAACCUGGGAAGUGGA